rnacentral:RNase_MRP_RNA from 1 species
UGGCGUGCGGUUUGACGACUAUCCGAGCUUGCGCGGAAGGCAUGUCCUUCAGUUCGCUUGGGAGAAAGUCCCCAGAUGACGUGCAGAGAGUGCAAUUGCGAAAGCGAACUGAUCAGGUGACCAAUCGACGGUGAAGCUCAGACUGAGCUUCCCAUCACAGCAUUUAGUUAUGUUGUUGGUCACUUCGUGAUACAAUUCAAUGGGGCUUAUCAAUCUCACGCC